CAUGGCUCAGGACGAACGCUGGCGGCGUGCCUAAUACAUGCAAGUCGUACGCUUCUUUUUCCACCGGAGCUUGCUCCACCGGAAAAAGAAGAGUGGCGAACGGGUGAGUAACACGUGGGUAACCUGCCCAUCAGAAGGGGAUAACACUUGGAAACAGGUGCUAAUACCGUAUAACAAUCGAAACCGCAUGGUUUUGAUUUGAAAGGCGCUUUCGGGUGUCGCUGAUGGAUGGACCCGCGGUGCAUUAGCUAGUUGGUGAGGUAACGGCUCACCAAGGCACGAUGCAUAGCCGACCUGAGAGGGUGAUCGGCCACAUUGGGACUGAGACACGGCCCAAACUCCUACGGGAGGCAGCAGUAGGGAAUCUUCGGCAAUGGACGAAAGUCUGACCGAGCAACGCCGCGUGAGUGAAGAAGGUUUUCGGAUCGUAAAACUCUGUUGUUAGAGAAGAAACAAGGAUGAGGAGGUAAACUGUUCCAUCCCCCUGACGGUAACGAAGCCGA
rnacentral:rRNA from 1 species